GGAUGCGCGCGGUCCGUACGGACACCUCGGGGCAUCUUUUCUUUCCUUAAGGCACAAAGGGGGAUGUCAGCUGAGUGAUCCUGUUUCUCCAGAUCAGUUGGACCUUGCAAAGCUUCCCCCUCAUCUCUUGGAGUUCUGCAAGGACCCAUUUGCAUUGGAUCCAACCUCUGUUGAAGUCAAUGGAAAGCCUCCAGCUGGCUCAUGUAGGUUUCAACAGUCUCUCGACAAUACAAAUGCUGAAAAGAUUGAAUGGGUAAAGUCCAAC
ensembl:lncRNA